GUUCGGUGAUACAAGCUCUGCAGAAAUGAUGCUCAUUUCUACGACAUUGUACUGGAUCUUUUAAUACAUUCGUACAGAUGACACAAUGAAGGUUUUCAUCGACUUUCGUUUCAAAUCUGCUAUCUUCAUAACCUUGUUCCAUCGCUUCUCAAUAGAUUUCUACAUUUUGCUUUCUAAACUUUCGUAGCGAAGUAACUCACACAAGGACAUGUAGACGUUUGAAGGUUUAGUCUGUGACGUGUCUCUUUAUUC
rnacentral:lncRNA from 1 species